GUGUCAGCAGCCGCGGUAAUACGUAGGGUCCGAGCGUUGUCCGGAUUUAUUGGGCGUAAAGAGCUCGUAGGCGGUUCCGUAAGUCAGAUGUGAAAACUCAGGGCUCAACCCGGAGACGCCAUCUGAUACUGCGGUGACUGGAGUCUGGUAGGGGAACACGGAAUUCCUGGUGUAGCGGUGAAAUGCGCAGAUAUCAGGAGGAACACCGAUGGCGAAGGCAGUGUUCUGGGCCAGUACUGACGCUGAGGAGCGAAAGCGUGGGGAGCAAACAGGAUUAGAUACCCUGGUAGUCCACGCCGUAAACGUUGGGCACUAGGUGUGGGUCCUCAUCAACGGGAUCCGUGCCGUAGCUAACGCAUUAAGUGCCCCGCCUGGGGAGUACGGCCGCAAGGCUAAA
rnacentral:rRNA from 1 species